rnacentral:tRNA from 1 species
ACAUAUAGCCCAAUGGUAGAGCACUUGCCUAGCAGGCAUGAGGCUCAGGUUCAAUUGCCGGUACAGUA